UACAGAGACUGCAAGCGUUAUUCGGAUUCACUGGGCGUAAAGGGCGCGUAGGCGGCUUUAUAAGUCGGGGGUGAAAGCCUGUGGCUCAACCACAGAAUUGCCUUCGAUACUGUAGAGCUUGAGACCGGAAGAGGUAAGUGGAACUGCGAGUGUAGAGGUGAAAUUCGUAGAUAUUCGCAAGAACACCAGUGGCGAAGGCGGCUUACUGGUCCGGUUCUGACGCUGAGGCGCGAAAGCGUGGGGAGCAAACAGG
rnacentral:rRNA from 1 species